UUAUGGCCAUAUCACAUAGAAACACAUGUUUCCAUACAAUCCCUGAAUUCAAGCAAUGUCGAGCCUGGUCAGUACCUAGAUAGGUGACCGCUUGGGAAUACCAAGUGCUGUAAG